UUGCCAGCCCGCUCAAGAACUCAAAUGAAUUGACGGGGGCCCGCACAAGCGGUGGAGUAUGUGGUUUAAUUCGAUGCAACGCGAAGAACCUUACCUGGUCUUGACAUCCCGGAGACCCUUAGGAAACUAGGGGGUGCUUCCAUCUGGAAGAAUCUGGAGACAGGUGCUGCAUGGCUGUCGUCAGCUCGUGUCGUGAGAUGUUGGGUUAAGUCCCGCAACGAGCGCAACCCUUGCCUUUAGUUGCCAGCAGUUCGGCUGGGCACUCUAAAGGGACUGCCGGUGUUAAACCGGAGGAAGGUGGGGAUGACGUCAAGUCCUCAUGGCCUUUAUGACCAGGGCUACACACGUACUACAAUGGCCGAUACAAAGGGCAGCGACACUGCGAGGUGAAGCCAAUCCCGUAAAAUCGGUCUCAGUCCGGAUUGGAGUCUGCAACUCGACUCCAUGAAGUUGGAAUCGCCAGUAAUCGUGGAUCAGCAUGCCACGGUGAAUACGUUCCCGGGCCUU
rnacentral:rRNA from 1 species